rnacentral:lncRNA from 1 species
CUCCAGGUCAGGGUCAGCGCUGUGGGGUGGAUCUCCAACACUCGCACAUCGCGGGGAGGGUCUGGCCGGUCUGUAGGACCAGUAUGGACCAGUAUGGACCAGUAUGGACCAGUAUGGAUGGGUAUAAACCGGUAUGAACCAGUAUGGACCAGUAUGGACCAGUAUGGAUGGGUAUAAACCAGUAUGAACCAGUAUGGACUAGUAUGGACCAGUAUGGAUGGGUAUAAACCAGUAUGAACCAGUAUGGACCAGUAUGGACCAGUAUGGAUGGGUAUAAACCGGUAUGAACCAGUAUGGACCAGUAUGGACCAGUAUGGAUGGGUAUAAACCGGUAUGAACCAGUAUGGACCAUUAUAAACCAGUAUGCACCAGUGUGAGCCAGUACAAACCAGUAUGGGUCAGUAUGGACCAUUAUAAACCACUGUGGACCAUUAAAAACCAGUAUGGACCAGUAUGGAUCGGUAUAAACCAGUAUGGACCAGUAUAAACCAAUAGGGACCAGUGUGAACUAGUCCCUCCCAGUCCUCCCGGUUCACCCCAUUUCCCCAUCAAUCCCCUCCCAGUCCCUCCCAGUAUCCCCAUAUUCCCUCCCAGUCCCCCCAUAUAUUCCCCCUCCCAGCGCCCCCAGUCCCCUCCUGCUCUUUCCCAGUAGCUCCCAUUCCCUCCCAUUCCCUCCCAGUCCCUCCCAGUGACCCCAGUCCCCCCUCAGUCACAUUCCCAUUCCCUCCCAGUGCUCCCAGUCCCUCCCAGUCCCUCCCAGUCCCCUCCCUGUGCCUCCCAUUCCCUCCCAAUUCAUCCCAGUCCACCCCAGUUCCCCCCAUUUGCCCCUCCCAGUCCCUCCCAGUUGCUCCCAUUCCUUCCCAUCCCCUCCUAUUCCCCUCCCAGUGCUCCCAGUCCCCCCUAAAUUCCAUUCCCAUCCCUCCCAGUUCCUCCCAGUUCCCUCCCAGUUCCCUCCCAGUUCCUCCCAGUUCCCUCCCAGUUCCCUCCCAGUCCCUCCCAGUUCCC